rnacentral:rRNA from 1 species
CAGCCGCCGCGGGAAUACCAAGGGUGCAAGCGUUAAUCGGAAUUACUGGGCGUAAAGCGUGCGUAGGCGGUGAGUUAAGUCUGCUGUGAAAUCCCCGGGCUCAACCUGGGAAUGGCAGUGGAUACUGGCUCGCUAGAGUGUGUCAGAGGAUGGUGGAAUUCCCGGUGUAGCGGUGAAAUGCGUAGAGAUCGGGAGGAACAUCAGUGGCGAAGGCGGCCAUCUGGGACAACACUGACGCUGAGGCACGAAAGCGUGGGGAGCAAACAGGAUUAGAUACCCCAGUAGUCCCUGUCUCUUAUAC